ensembl:lncRNA
AACUGCUUACUGUUGAUGAAAUGCAAAACUGGAUGAGUUUUAGCAGCCAGAUUCCUGAUUCAAGUUGUGCCUAGAGGCUGCAGCUUUCUUUGUGCAGACUGGGGAUCACAGGAGUAUAGCUUUCUGUUGAGUGCUGCAUUAAUGCUACUCAAGUUCUACAGAAGUGACUCAACAUCCCACAGGCCUGCCAGGAUGACAAGUCACUUGCAGGAUUCAGUGCUGGCUUUGUUACAGAACAGCCGCUGACGACCUUCUCAAUCCCAUCCUGGACUUCAGGUCUCUAAUGUGAACUGCACCUUCCUCCCUGGUAGAUGAGCAGCGCUCUCUCUUGCUGAUGUUUGCUGGCAGGAAUUACUGGUUGCUCACAGCUCUACCAUCCAGUAUCUAUUUUUCUGAUGCCUAAAUAAUUAUAAAAGUCUGGCCCUACAUGUGAAUGGUUUACAGAAGAUAAACCACCAACUAGAAGGUUCCUACUCUAACUGAAGAACAGACUCAUGAAAGUUCUUGUCAGACAACACAAGGCAUCACAAAUAAAGCAGAGUUUUCAAUUAAAGCCAGUGGACUGAUUCAAGAAAUUACUGUUGAUGGGAAUGUUUAAUUUCAGCAAGAGAAUACCAUCUUGCCUUUGGGACUGAGAAGCAAAGUACAUCAUUGUUGUUUCCAGUUGGCCAAGAUUUACUUUAUUUCAGAUAGUGUGUUAGCAUUAAGCCCAGAUAUAUUUCCUACAAUUACAGGCUUUUUGGUAAGUGCAUAGGUUGUCACUUGAAUUGAUAGCUGUAUGGAAAAUAAAUAAACUCUAAACAUAGCUCAGAU